CAGCUACAACAAACCAAAACACAAAUAAUUAUUAAUCAAAAAAAGAGAGAGAGAGAGAGAGAGAGAGAGAGAACUAUAUUGGGCUGUCGAAUCACUUAAGUGACAA